GACAAAGUAGAGAUCUGGAUCCAACGAACUCAGGAAUUUGCCAUGCGACAUAGACACAAAUUCAAUACCGCCUGCCACGGUGAAGGGCUCCAGAUGUGUACGGCUACUCGUCCAGAUGCUGAACACGCAAUGGGAUGAGGAAGUUGUCACCUUUUGUUCUUAACGUGUGCAUGCGUGCAACGGCCAUGGAAGUUGACGGCUCAAGAUCCAAAGGAAAAAGAGGUGAACUCACUAACGCAAAACACGUAUGUGCCUGCAUGCCCUUUGCCCGCACACUAAGUAAGCAUGUGGUGUAGGACAUAUAUCCCCUGCCCGAGAUUCCAAAAGGCCGCUGAAUAGCACAGAGCAUGUCUACAUCGAAAGAAAACUUUCCUCAAAUCUUUUAUGACUCUUGACUUAGAGAGACCUGAUUUGUUUAAAUUUGAAGUCUAGCGUUUAAAUUUUUCGUUGAAAUGAAUUGUGGCUUGGAUCAAAAUUUCGCGAGCCCUUGGGCAAGCAGAUGGCCUGUGCUAGAUCUUGGGCAAGCGCUCGAUCAAGAAUUUGGGAAUCCUACAAGAAAGUUUUUAGCCAUUCCCAGAACAAUAACGACCUUAGAAGACAUCUCCACGGAUGAGAAGUUUCUUACCAUGCCAGUCCCUGCAAUACCUGGACAAAAUGAAAAAGCAAUACGUACCUAUUUCGUUUCCAGUACUGUGGAACAGCGAAGUACAUGGAGCCGCAGGUGAUGGAAGAAAUCACCUCCAGUGCGAUGUGCUUCUCUGUACCACAGUACUGUGAUGCCAAACUCUUCCUUGUGCAUCUCAAGGAAGAGACUCAAAUGGAUCCUCGCCCAUCGUCGCAAUAGAUAUGGCGGAUCGAAGCCCUA
rnacentral:lncRNA from 1 species